rnacentral:lncRNA from 1 species
AUACAUUCAAUCGAAAAAUUCUUCAUAAUCUAUCAAAAUGUAAUUGCUACAAGGUUUUAGAAUUAAUAACGAUUACAUACUAUAAAUCCCAAAGUAGCAUUCAUCGAAACUAACCAAUCAUUUAGUUGUACACCUAAACAAUCAAGAAAAACAAAAUAAUCUUUUAACACAAUGGAUUAAACACAUCAAUCACGAGAACUAUAAAGCACAAAUUAAUUGAAAAUCAUAAUUCCGGUUUAAUAUAAUCCCCAACCACAAAUAUGUUUAAUUAUCCAUGAAAUAUCCACAAAUAACCAACAAAUUUUUACAAAAUAUUAAUGGAAAAUAAAUUAGAGAAAAGAAAAGCUUAUUGAUAAUUUGAGAAAUAGUUGAGAAAUGGGUCUCCUCUUCCAAGCUAUUUCACUAUCUCCAAGCUUUAAUCUUCGCCAAAAUAUCCAAGCAAAUUAAGGUGCAAGAUGAAGGAAAAUGAAAAACAAAAGAAAAGAAAAUAAAAGAAAAACGGCAGCCCAAAAAUAUUGGAAGAGAAAGUGCCGGCUGCUCCCCAAAUGAAAAACUGCCCAGAAAAGUCCCAUGUCCUAUGGUUUUAAAUCAAAACCUAAGUGAAUAUUGCAGCUGCUGUCCCUGAGAAUCUGGAAUUUAACAAAAAAUGCCCCGCUACAGUAAAGAUGGGCGCCUAGGCGCUGGAACAGUGGUGCCCAGGCGCCCAGUUUCUGCUUAAGUGGGCAGGCCGAGCUGCCUUUUCUGUUUUAUAAUUUUUUUUUUUUUAAAUUUCGGCUACGUUUUUUAUCGUCUUCUUCGUUUGCCUUCAU